rnacentral:rRNA from 1 species
CCUACGGGGGGCAGCAGUGAGGAAUAUUGCACAAUGGUGGGAACCCUGAUGCAGCGACGCCGCGUGAGUGAAGAAGUUAUUCGUUAUGUAAAGCUCUAUCAGCAGGGAAGAAAAUGACGGUACCUGAGUAAGAAGCACCGGCUAACUACGUGCCAGAAGCCGCGGUAAUACGUAGGGGGCAAGCGUUAUCCGGAUUUACUGGGUGUAAAGGGGGCGUAGAGGGCAGUGCAAGUCUGGAGGGAAAGGGGGGGGCCCAACCCCCGGACUGCGCUGGAAACUGUACGGCUGGAGUGCAGGAGAGGUAAGUGGAAUUCCUAGUGUAGCGGUGAAAUGCGUAGAUAUUAGGAGGAACACCAGUGGCGAAGGCGGCUUACUGGAUUGUAACUGACGCUGAGGCUCGAAAGCGUGGGGAGCAAACAGGAUUAGAUACCCCUGUAGUC